rnacentral:tRNA from 1 species
GGCCGGUUAGCAAAGUGGUAAUGCAAGGGACUGCAACUCCCUCAUCGACGGUUCGAUUCCGUCACCGGCCUCCA